rnacentral:rRNA from 1 species
UGCUAAUACCGCAUAAGAGCACGGCAGGACAUCGUCCAGUGUUAAAAACUCCGGUGGUACAGGAUGGACCCGCGUCUGAUUAGCUGGUUGGCAAGGUAACGGCUCACCAAGGCGACGAUCAGUAGCCGGUUUGAGAGAAUGAACGGCCACAUUGGGACUGAGACACGGUCCAAACUCCUACGGGAGGCAGCAGUGGGGAAUAUUGCACAAUGGGGGAAACCCUGAUGCAGCGACGCCGCGUGAGUGAAGAAGUAUUUCGGUAUGUAAAGCUCUAUCAGCAGGGAAGAUAAUGACGGUACCUGACUAAGAAGCUCCGGCUAAAUACGUGCCAGCAGCCGCGGUAAUACGUAUGGAGCAAGCGUUAUCCGGAUUUACUGGGUGUAAAGGGUGCGUAGGUGGCAUUGCAAGUCAGAUGUGAAAACCCGGGGCUCUAACUCUGGAACUGCUAUUUGAAACUGUCUAGACUGGAGUACAGGAGAGGUCAGGCGGAAUUCCUAGUGUAGCGGUGAAAUGCGUAGAUAUUAGGAGGAACAUCCAGUGGCGAAGGCGGCUUGCUGGACUGUUACUGACACUGAGGCACGAAAGCGUGGGGAGCAAAC